ACAUCUAAUUCUUAAUUGGAUUAGAUUUUAAUCUAAAUAGUUUGGGCUCCUAAUCAGAUUAGGAUUUCAAUCUAUUUGGGUCUAAUCAAUUUUUAAUAUUAUUAAAAUUGAUUAAAAUUUUAAUUGAUUUAAAUCAGUCACCUAAAAAGAAGUCCUAAGUGGUAAGGACUCUUCCUCUCCAUGUGCCAUUAAGAAGCCCCACACCCACUUAUAAUUGGCGGCCC
rnacentral:lncRNA from 1 species